AAAGAUCAGCAAGGCCCCUGCCCAAGGAUGACAUACAAAUUCAUGAAGCAUUCCAUAUUUUU
ensembl:snRNA U6 U6 spliceosomal RNA